rnacentral:tRNA from 2 species
GCGCCUGUAGCUCAAUUGGUUAGAGCUGGCGGCUCAUAACCGCUCGGUUGUAGGUUCGAGUCCUACCGGGCGCACCA